CAAACAUCACAUCAAAAACCCGAGAAGUAUUCGUGUAUGCAGUCGUUCUAGCUAAUACAUGAGCUACUACAUUAAUUUAUUCACUACAAGAAAUUUUGAGUUUUGCGACAGAUGCAUUGCGACGGGUGCCAAACAAACGUCGCCAUUCUCUCUUUACUACACUUCCUGCUACGGUGCUAAACAACCGUCGCAGCAUUUCUAAGCAAAACCAAGAGGCGCUACCUUUUUCCAAUCACGCGUCCCAAUUUUUGCAAGUCCCGCUCUCUAAAUUUCUUCUCAUAUCUCUGCGACCCUUUUCUCCCAAAACCAAAAACCGUUUUCUCCCAAAUCCAAAAACCCUUUUCUCUCAAAUUUGUUUCCUUCAAAUUUCCCAAAUCCCUCGAUCUCCCCAUCUAUGCGGAAGUUUGAUAUCUCCAUCUCUGGAAUUGAAGCAAUCUCUCUUCUCUGCGGAGGAGAACGGUCGCAUGUAGUGUUACCAAACGACGAGAUUCAAUCUCUGUAAUAUGUUGGAAAGCAUUGAUAGUAAAAAGUAUUGAAAUAAGAUGCCAAGACUCAAGAUUUUGAUUUGAAAUGACUGCAAUAGGAAAGGGCAAGAUUACAGUAAGGACGAGGAAGAUAUUCAGAAGGCGGGUGGAGAGUGAUACCAAUUCUGAUAGUGAAGAUGAUGACUUGGUGACAAACCUAAAUGAAGCAGACAAUUUAAAUGUUGAUUCUUUACAUUUGUCGGAGCAGGAUGAUGGACAUGAAAGUCAUGGAAUA